UUUGAAGUCGAUUGGACUUAAACUUCAUCAAAAACUACCUUGACCAAAAACUUUAACCUGAGGCGGGACAGAUGGACGGACGGACGUACGCACAGACCAGAAAACAUAAUGCCCCUCUACUAUCGUAGGUGGGGCAUAAAAAUUACCUUAUACCUAGUAGAAUAUAACAAACAAUUCAUAUAUAAUUAACAAAACAACACACAAUCAAAGAAAAUAAAACUUAAAAAAAAUAUCUUGAAAGAUGAGAUUCUGACAAAACUUUGUACUAAACAAAAACAAUAUAAACACAACUUAUAUAUUAUUUUCUCAUAAAUUAAUAGCACUUAUAAUAUUCAAUAAACAUCUUUAUACAUUUAAAUACACAGAAGUUUGGAAAAAAAAAUCAUUACAACACAAUUUCAACUUGUUCAGCUGGAAAACAAAUUCCAUAGAAAUAAGAAAAUGUGGUAUAAGUGCAAAUGAGACAAAAUUCAAUUCAAGUCCAUGUGUAUUUAAUUGCAACAAAUAUUUCUAAUUACAGAAGUUUGAAGGAUUAGUUCUUGAUGUGACAUGUAACUUUCAGCACAUAUGGCUAUAGCAUAAGGGCCAUAUUCUAUUCAUAGAAUUCUAAAAAUAAACCUUUGGAGGAAGCUGGAGUAGCUAUAGAAAAAAAAACAGAACUUUGGCAGGAAAUCUGGCAAUCCUUUCAUUUAAGAUUAUUGUCAAAUUGCCAAAGUGAGUUUCAAACCAGGUUUUUAUGGAGAGGUUAUGUUCCUGAGAAUUAGGAAAUAGACGACCAUAUUGUGACAAAAAAACUGGCUUUUAUUUAUCCUAUAAAUUUCUGUUUUUUGCUCUUUUUAAGGGGCCUAUAUUGGGUGUGCCUCUAUUUGAAUCUGUGCAUGCAACUUGAGUGUUGCCAAGCAAGUGAUUGAAUUUGAGAAGUCUAUGUUGUAUAAACUAUGUUUAUAUGAUAAUGACUAAAAACCUUAACAUGUACAAUUUAACUGAUUGUCAAUUGAAUCAACAAUUAUAUAACAUAGCUCUAUAUAAGUUAUAUAAACAGCAUAGUUGAACAAAAUAAUAUCCACAAAGUAUAUGUAAAAAGAAACAUUCCACAAAUAUUAGAAAUAAGUCCACAACUUAAAUAAUGAGAGAUUCAUCUUUUACCAACAUAACAAAAGGUUCUGUACUAAACAGAAAAUAUUGUGCCAUGUUAUGUUUUUUUACUAUUGUGGAUUAAUCAUUAUUCAUGGGAUACCCCUUUUUGAGGCUUUGUUGGGACAGCUAUUAAACCUAAAAAUAUAAGGAGAUGUGGUAUGAUUCCAAGAGACAACUAUUCAUCUAAGUUCAAAUGAAGAGGAUGUACUCAUCUUUAAAUGAUCAGUGAUUUCAACAUUUUUUUAUUGGCUAUUGGCUUGUAGGCAAAACCCCACCAAUAAUAAAAACUGUGGUUUCAUUAAUAUUUGUUGGAUACAAAUUUUUGUGAAUUCUGUUGGUAUUGGGGACCACAAAUGGAAAUAUUCAGCAAUUUACAAAUUUUCUAAAGGAAUGUAUGCAGACUUUGCCAAAGCCACAAAAUUAAAAAUCUAUGAAAAAUGUAAGUUUUCCUCCAUACUCAAAAAUUGGUAACCAUGACAAUAAAUGAAUCCUCAAUAUCCAGUUUUCCUCACUCCAAAACAAAAAUACAUUACUUCACAGUAUUGCAAUCUUGGUAUAUAAAACAUAUAUUAUUUAACAAAUAGAUAAUAUACAGGUUAAACAUGUAUUUUACUACUUCCCAUUAUAUUUU
rnacentral:lncRNA from 1 species